rnacentral:sRNA from 1 species
GAUCUCCGGGCGGCGGCGGCGGCGGCGAAGGCGAGACGCGUUGUCGGGCCGCGGAGGAGCGGGACAGCCAGACCCAGCCCCAGGACGCGGCGGCCGCGGGGAGCCUAGCAUGGAAGAGCGCGCGGGUCCGGCAGAAUCAUCCGGACCAAAGUUCAGCAGCCUUUCCACCCAACGCCGGAUGGGGCUGGGACAGGAGUGACCGCCCCUGGCCACACCAUUGUUCCCAGCACGGCCUCCCCUCCUGUUUCCAGCGCCUCCAAUGACCCAGUGGGAUCCUACUCCAUCAAUGGGAUCCUGGGGAUUCCUCGCUCCAAUGGUGAGAAGAGGAAACGUGAUGAAGAUGUGUCCGAGGGCUCAGUCCCCAAUGGAGAUUCCCAGAGUGGUGUGGACAGUUUGCGGAAGCACUUGCGAGCUGACACCUUCACCCAGCAGCAGCUGGAAGCUUUGGAUCGAGUCUUUGAGCGUCCUUCCUACCCUGACGUCUUCCAGGCAUCAGAGCACAUCAAAUCA